GUAUUAAUACCAGUAUAAUUUGUUUGAAAGCCCACUAUACCAAUAUACCUAGAAAAAAAGCCACGAGAAAACUACGCAUAAACAACGGACACUCAUAUAUAAGCAUGAUAGACAACAGCAGAAUAUACUUAGCCUUCAACAUUCAAUAUUCAUGGUUUGGGAUGAAAAAACGAUAACAGAUAAGCGACAGUAAAAUGAGUAAAGAAGAGUUACAUUCACUGUUAUUUUUGUUGAAAUAUUGAUGACGUCGACAAUUCCAAUUUUGAUUUUAUUAAAUGGAGAUUCUGAUAAACUACAAAAUUGUUGUUCAAAUUUGAAUAAUUUAAAAUCUUUUAUUUUCACGCAGUGCCUUCCCUUGAUAUGAUCACAAAACUGGUAGGAAGAAAGAUGAUUAUGAUUUUCAAACUGAGUUUCCAUUAUAUGAUGAGCAAAAAAAAGUAAGUAAAAGAUUUAAUAAUAACG
rnacentral:lncRNA from 1 species